GUGCCAGCAGCCGCGGUAAUACGUAGGUGGCAAGCGUUGUCCGGAAUCAUUGGGCGUAAAGAGCGCGUAGGUGGCUUGUCAGGUCUGAUGUGAAAUCCUGGGGCUCAACCCCAGGCGUGCAUCGGAAACCGGCUUGCUCGAGUCUGGGAGAGGAGAGUGGAAUUCCUGGUGUAGCGGUGAAAUGCGUAGAUAUCAGGAGGAACACCGGUAGCGAAGGCGGCUCUCUGGAACAGUACUGACACUGAGGCGCGAAAGCUAGGGGAGCAAACAGGAUUAGAUACCCUAGUAGUCC
rnacentral:rRNA from 1 species